CAAACACAACCUCCAGCAAUGUAUCUAAGGAAUGUAAACUUCUACAGGCCUUUAAAGACUUUGGAUUACAAAUACAAUUACUAUUUUUAACUUUGGAUUACAAUUCGUAUCCGGAUCUAUCCAAGAAUAUCUUACUCUGGAACCUGGUGUUCUUUUCAAUUCUUUCCCAGACAAAAGCUUUGCUCAUUUUAAUCAACCACCUUUACAGGCAAAGAUCACACUACGGAUAUUAUACUGUUACAACAAUGAUCAAAGAUGCUGGGAGCAUAAAAAAACCUAAAGACAGUUGGAGAACUUUAGUUCACUAAUUUAAGGAAGAAAUGCGCUACAAUGCCCACAGUUUAAUGGAGAGGGUGUUACA
rnacentral:lncRNA from 1 species